rnacentral:rRNA from 1 species
AACGAACGCUGGCGGCAUGCCUAACACAUGCAAGUCGAACGAGACCUUCGGGUCUAGUGGCGCACGGGUGCGUAACGCGUUGGAACCUGCCCUUAUGUUCUGAAUAACUCCCCGAAAGGGGUGCUAAUACCGGAUAAUCUCUUCGGACCAAAGAUUUAUCGCCUUUGGAUGGGCCCGCGUUGGAUUAGCUAGUUGGUAGGGUAAAAGCCUACCAAGGCGACGAUCCAUAGCUGGUCUGAGAGGAUGAUCAGCCACACUGGGACUGAGACACGGCCCAGACUCCUACGGGAGGCAGCAGUGGGGAAUAUUGGACAAUGGGCGAAAGCCUGAGCCAGCAAUGCCGCGUGAGUGAUGAAGGCCUUAGGGUUGUAAAGCUCUUUUACCCGGGAUGAUAAUGACAGUACCGGGAGAAUAAGCGCCGGCUAACUCCGUG